AUCAACUUUCGAUGGUAGGAUAGAGGCCUACCAUGGUGGUAACGGGUAACGGGGUGUUAGGGCACGACACCGGAGAGGGAGCCUGAGAAACGGCUACCACAUCCAAGGAUGGCAGCAGGCGCGCAAAUUACCCAAUCCCGACACGGGGAGGUAGUGACAAUAAAUAACAAUACGGGGUUCUUUCGGAUUUCGUAAUUGGAAUGAGUACAAUUUAAAUCUCUUAACGAGAAACAAUUGGAGGGCAAGUCUGGUGCCAGCAGCCGCGGUAAUUCCAGCUCCAAUAGCGUAUAUUAAAGUUGCUGCAGUUAAAAAGCUCGUAGUUGAAUUUCGGGACCAAUCUGUCGGUCGUGCCUCGGUACGCACUGGCUUAUUGGUUUCUCCCUUCUGAAGAACCGUGAUGUCAUUAAUUUGGUGUCAUGGGGAAUCAGGACUGUUACUUUGAAAAAAUUAGAGUGUUUAAAGCAGGCUCGCGCUUGAAUACAUUAGCAUGGAAUAAUGAAAUAGGACGUUUAAUUCUAUUUUGUUGGUUCUAGGAUUGACGUAAUGAUUAAUAGGGAUAGUUGGGGGCAUUAGUAUUCAAUUGUCAGAGGUGAAAUUCUUGGAUUUAUUGAAGACUAACUACUGCGAAAGCAUUUGCCAAGGAUGUUUUCAUUAAUCAAGAACGAAAGUUAGGGGAUCGAAGACGAUCAGAUACCGUCGUAGUCUUAACCAUAAACUAUGCCGACUAGGGAUCGGAUGAUGUUAAUUUUUUAAUGACUCAUUCGGCGCCUUACGGGAAACCAAAGUGUUUGGGUUC
rnacentral:rRNA from 1 species